CGAGCAACAGCCGGCCGUGGAGUUCGUGAGCGCCGCCCGCAUGCGCGGCACCCACCACGAGCAGUCGCCCCCGGAGGAGUCGCCGGCGGAGGCGGCGCGCC